rnacentral:lncRNA from 1 species
CCCAGGCCCGAGAGGGGUCGCCGCUUACGUCUCGCAGCCCGAGGGGAGGCCGCUCGGCCUCGGCCGCUCACAGGCGCGACGUAAAGGCCCGGCGUCACCGGCCCGGCUUAACGGUGCAACGGCUGGCCUGGGCCUGCAACUCUGGGGUCCCGGCCGGGCUGGAGCGGCCGCCGGAGAGACCUGUUCACUGCAUUCGGUUCUUGCGGUCCUUUCUUAAGCGGCUCGCAGGGUCCCGAGCCCCUCAGCUCCCCGGGCCUCGGUGGCCCAGGGCCCAGCUCAGCCGACUGGGCAGUCGAUGUAGGUCCUGAGAAGAGCGGCGGCGGCGGCGGCGGCGGCGGCGAAGGAAAAGCGACACUGAAGCGAAGGCUCGCGGUUUCGGCCUAAAGGAAAGUGCAGGGGAGGCCCGGGUCUCGGGUGACACCCCCACGCCUUGAGCGGGACUGUGGUUGCGAGGGAGGGACGAGAAAACACGCCUACGCCCUGCGUGCGCUGUGCUGACUACCUCUCCAGCAUGGAGGCUUCCAGAUGAGCAGACACCCGAAUCCCAGCGGGAGCCCGUCAAAAAUGGAGAUUUCUGCCGUCACUCUGGGACUCUUAAUUCGGUCCGUCUGGGGUGGGGCCCAGGAAUCUGCAUUUCUGAUAAGGUCACCCGCUCCCCUCCCCCAUUAUUCCAGUGCAAAGAGGUCCUAGGCCCAGUGCCCAUCAGCUCCUCAAGACAGGAAUUACUAUAUCUUUUUCUGACAACUGUUAACUUUGUACAAGGUUAGCAAAUAAAUCCAGGAAUGAAUGGAAUCUUAAAACUCGUAAAACAACAAUGAAAGGUAAUUCACACAAAAGAUACAAAAUCCAAAAUUGUCAAAAAAGAUACAGG